GACAGAGGGUGCAAACGUUGUUCGGAAUUACUGGGCGUAAAGCGCGUGUAGGCGGUUUUGUAAGUCGGAUGUGAAAGCCCCGGGCUCAACCCGGGAAGUGCACUCGAUACUGCCAAGCUAGAGUGUCGGAGAGGUUGGUGGAAUUCUCGGUGUAGAGGUGAAAUUCGUAGAUAUCGAGAGGAACACCGGUGGCGAAGGCGGCCAACUGGACGAACACUGACGCUGAGACUCGAAAGCGUGGGGAGCAAACAGG
rnacentral:rRNA from 1 species